GGACAAAGGGAGGGGCCUGACAUCACAAUGCCAGUGAAUGGCAGAGCUGGGACUGGAACCCAGCUCCCUCUGUCUGCACAGCCCAAGCUAUUGGCCCACCACAGGAGCCUGCCUCCAUAGCAAUGAAAAAUAAUUGGAGUAUUUAAGAAUCAGAGUUUUACUGAUGCUCCCAUUAUGAAGAAAAAAUCAUCACUUACUAUAAGGAAGAGUUCCUGCCUUGAUUAAAGUUGGCAGUUCCUGUGACCCCCAGGAGAGAAGGCUGUGGGCUGAUUAUUAGAGCAUUUUAGUGUGUGGGUUUGCCUGGAAGCAAUAGCCAGCAAAGGCUGGAAGAUGGGAAUAACGAUAAAGCAUGCUCAGCUUGUAGAGCUCUGAGCUGAACAGCAUUACUCUCGACCAGAUUUCAUUUCUUGUUAAUUAUAUCCGAUUCCACUUGA